rnacentral:rRNA from 1 species
UACAGAGGGUGCGAGCGUUAAUCGGAAUUACUGGGCGUAAAGGGUGCGUAGGUGGUUGAAUAAGUUGGGUGUGAAAGUCCUGGGCUUAACCUGGGGAUUGCGCUCAAUACUGUUUAGCUAGAGUACUGUAGAGGAAGGUGGAAUUUCCAGUGUAGCGGUGAAAUGCGUAGAUAUUGGAAGGAACAUCUGUGGCGAAGGCGACCUUCUGGACAGAUACUGACACUGAGGCACGAAAGCGUGGGGAGCAAAC